UAAAGCAUAUUAGAAAAGUUUAUAUUUCAUUUUCUUGCAGUUGAUUCUAAAAAUAGUGCAUUGUUAGGUGGAUAUAAGAAGUAUGCUUAAUCUAAUAAUGUGUCAUAUUUUGUGUAAUUUGAAAUAUUGGUUUAUUCUUUAUUUUAACAUGUAAAGCAUAUUAGAAAAGUUUAUAUUUCAUUUUAUUGUUCCUCUUGCAGUUGAUUUUAAAAAGUGUAUCAUAACCUAAUAUGCGUACUAAGGCAUGCUAUUUUUUGCUCAUUGUGAGCUAUGAGGAAGAGUGGUUGAAGACCAACAGUUUACAAGUGAAUGGUAGGUUUUAUUUGCAGAUGUUAGGUGAGGUCUACUCCCUGCUCGAUGGCUUUAUAAACCCAGUCCAUCUUGAAAUAAAGCCAUGAGUUAUUCAUUGUCCCGCGGGUUUGCAUUCUUACCAUUUGGUCGUAGUUUGUAAGAAGGAUUGAUCACAUGGGACCUGGUGGACCCCCUGGCCCAGGCCCAGGCCCAGGUUGGGGUCCUGGACCUGGGGGCCCUGGGCCUUGCGGGCCUUGCUGCGAUUUACUCUCUUCAUGUUUUUACUUCCUCUGCUGCUGCUGCUUGCUUCGGGACUGCUGUGGCCCGCUAUUUGGGCGACCUCCUGGCCCUCCCGGACCACCUGGACCGCCCUUUUAACAUGCAGUUGGACUAAAUGGAGUCCUAAUAAUAAUGGGGGGUAUCAGUAAACGGCUCCUCGGAAUCAGUCCGUGUUUUUGUGUACUAAAAUGAUCCUUUCACGCCAGUAUAUUAUUGCUUCUGUUGCUUGGUAAUGGAGGUUGAUGAGUUCUUGUCGA